rnacentral:rRNA from 1 species
UACGUAGGGCGCAAGCGUUUGUCCGGAAUUAUUGGGCGUAAAGAGCUCGUAGGCGGCCAGUUGCGUCUGCUGUGAAAUCCCGGGGCUCAACCCCGGGCGUGCAGUGGAUACGGGCUGGCUAGAGGCAGGCAGGGGGAGAACGAAUUCCCGGUGUAGCGGUGAAAUGCGCAGAUAUCGGGAGGAACACCGGUGGCGAAGGCGGUUCUCUGGGCCUGUACUGACGCUGAGGAGCAAAGCG